rnacentral:misc_RNA from 1 species
CCCUUGGGAACAAUUUCAACAUUUGGGUCCAGGCCAUGAUUUUCUAACCUUUGGCUUGGUAAAUUGAUAGGCUUGGGAACAGCAACUUUCCCCAACACAGUCAUGCCACUUCUUCUUGCAGAGGUUCUCUCCAGUCAACAUAGUUGACAUCAUAAUUCACUUGGCAUAGUCAUUCAAAAGAAUUUGACAGAAUCUGGGUUUUUUUCUUUUUCCUUUUCUUUUCCUUUUUUCAAUUGGGGGAGGGAGCGUGUAUUUGGAAACCCUAGAGAAGAAAAA